AGGAUAAACGCUGGCGGCGUGCCUAACACAUGCAAGUCGAACGUCCUACGCAAGUAGGGAGUGGCGGACGAGUGAGUAACACGUGGGCAAUCUACCUUUCGGUGAGGAAUACCGGCGAGAAAUCGCCGACAAUACCGCAUACGCUUCGCAAGAAGCAAAGUCGCAAGACGCCGGAGGAGGAGCCUGCGCCCGAUUAGCUGGUUGGUGAGGUAAGAGCUCACCAAGGCGACGAUCGGUAGC
rnacentral:rRNA from 1 species